CUUGCAUACGAAAAGCAUGGAAUGAUGGAAAAUGGCCUCGUCCGCGCGUCAUCCGUCGGUCUCCGUUCACGACGAGGCAAUGAUCGAAGGGAGCGAUCGGGGCCACUCGUAUUGCGACGUUAGAGGUGAAAUUCUUGGAUCGUCGCAAGACGCACUGCAGCGACGGCGUGUGGCAAGCACGUUUUCCUCGAUCAAGAGCGAAAGUCGGAGGUUCGAAGACGAUCAGAUACCGUCGUAGUUCCGACCGUAAACGAUGCCGACUGGCGCUACCUGUAUUAUUA
rnacentral:ncRNA from 1 species